GUAUUGGGUUUGGCUGCAAUCGCACUGCAGAGGUCAGGGGUUCGAUUCCCCUCGGCUCCACCA
rnacentral:tRNA from 1 species